AUAUUGAGUCAGGACACCUUGACGAAGGUUCACGAUGUGCCGCCACAUGUGAUAUCGGCUAAAUCCAGCCGCGUUAUACUAUUUAUUUCUAGGCGAUUCGAGGUAAAAAGUCGUCUAGCCUUUCGCGAAUCCGGCCGAUCGCAUCCUGCAACCGAGUGCUCGAGGCCUUGCGAAAUUUUCUAUCUUUUUUUUUCUUCCUCUUCUUUCUUCUCUCUUUCUCCUCGGUUCACUCGUGCGCACAGAAAGAAAGCAAACGCAUCUGCGUCGCGGUGAGAAAUCUGCACUGUCAAUUAUGCACUAAUCAACUGUCAUUAGAUAUACCGAUUACCUUGUUUUGAAUAUCAUCAAUCCUUAUCGAUCAUACUCAAUUACUUUAUAUGAAGAUACAUGUACCUCUGCCUUCCGCAUAAGAAACCAAGUGAUCAUCAAUUAGCUUUUGGUAGUUUUCUCUUUAACCAAUUCCGUAUAGGUGAGGAUCAAUUAACGGAAUCGCCAUGAUAACUCGAUAAUUAACUAAUUGCACGCAACGCAUCGUUACCCAGAUUAAAAAUUCUUUCCCACCACGAAUCUGCCCAAUACACUUUAUGAUCAAUUCAUGGUAAUUUAACCGAUUAAUUAGACAAUGAGGAACGAACAUGGUCGGUAAGUUAAGAAAGUAUACGUUCACGGGGUACGGUGCAAUUUAAAGAAAGUUGAAAAGAUACAAACAAAAGAUAAAUCCACAAAGUUUCUGAAGUUCUUCAAGGUAUCUAAUAGAAACAGGAAGAAUUUUCUCACCCGGAAGGUGACACCUACACCGUCGUCGAUAAUCUGGAACGUGACAUACGUCUACGGGAAGCCUCAUUGCACCACUGAGGAAACUAGAACUGGACAAAAACUAACCCAAUAUCGUGUCCGAUACCAGGAACCCACGCUAGAUACAUUCAUCCUUCCUGAAGUAGCAGUAACAGUAGCGGAGCAGCAAUAGUAUACUUAGAACCAAUCACUAUAGCGUAUCGCAUAAUAAACCACAAGGAUUUCCGCUCGGAGAUUCUUAACCUAAAAAUCCUCGGAUUCAAUCCGGAAGCAAGAUACAGUGCUUCGGAUAUUAACUGAAGCUACGUCACUUCCUUGUUACAAAUUCAGCAUAAGUGUCACGUUUGUAAAAGUAGAGAAAACACUGUCGUACCAUAGAACCAAAAGAAACAGAGUAUCUUUGCAGGUAAGGAGAUUCAUUGCAAGUUUGUACUAGCGCGAGCGCCAUCUGUCGUCUUUAUUAUGAACACUGAUUUCGAGGUGCUUUCACACUCUUCAAGACGCAAUUACGUAUAUCCACGAUCCUUACGUGCGGUUACUUUUCUCUAAGGAAUAGGACAUCCAGAAGCCCAUGAUUGGCUAAGCUGCAAUACUCAGACUGCAUCGCGCUGACAAACAGACAAAGAAACGAUCUCGAGGGUAACACGAGUUGUCUCAAUGCUACGUGAGUUCCAGAAACACACUGACGGCUUACCGAUUCCCCGUAGUCGAUCGCGACGGCUCUCGAUCCUGAAGUCAGUCGCCGUGUCCCUUGUCCGGCAUGCCGAACGCUUCCUGUCCGGUGAAUUCCAUGAGACUUUUCUCAAUACCAGAUGGAGCUGUCGAAGAUGUUAAAUUGCGGAACGCUAUCAUGGAUUCGAGAGCCAAGAGAACGUGAUGGCUCGCGACCCAUUUUCCGUACGUUUUCAUAUUCGCAAACAUUCCUCUCACGCCUAACAGUUUUUGAAGCUGGUUUACGGGCACCACGGUCUUAGGACAUACCCUGGUACUCUUUGGAAAUUCCUUGCAGUGCCGGUCCCUCGUCUUCUUGGUGCGUGGUGGCGUAUGCUAGAGCGCGGAGAGAGAGGCGAGGACACAGUGUGGGAAGGAGAAUCAGAAGGGAGAUACUCCUCAGCGUGAGGUCGUAUCGAUUAUGGAUCGGCAAAGCCUCUUUCCAAUUAAUUUUCACAUUCACCAACCGUCUCACGGAGUGCGGGCACCGUAAGCGACGAACGGGACAGGAAUUUCUGUGUAAGACCCUGGGAAGAAGAGAAGAAAGAGAAAGAGAGAGAAAAAAUCAAAAAGACUAUGCACUGCCUACACUCUGUGUGCAUAAGUGUAUAUGCAUAUUUAUGCGUUGGGCCAAUGGAGACGUGGUCGUUUAGAGUGAUUUGGGGCCUGACAGGUAUGCGUCGCGAAAGCGUCACAGAAGGCUUAGCCCAUUGAUUUUUGUAUAAGGCCACCUUUUUCAUUUUGAGUUUCAUGGAGUCAGGAUAAUGUAUCGUAUAAUAGCGUCAGCGUUGCACGAUAAGAAUGUUAAUACGAUUUCACAUCGGAGAUACCUAUUUGGGGCUCAACUCUAUGUAGGUCCCACGUCGAAAAGGAGAGCCGAAAGCAUUACGCAGGGCGAGGAAAGCAUUCGCGGCGUCCGGGUGCGCCGACCUAGGAAUUUUUGCAUAUAAUUUCUCGGGCCCCGGGACACGUACCGAUGCGAAAUUAUGCGUGCGGCAAGUGUCACGCCUUUAGGUUUUAUUUGUUACAAGUAACGCGUAGGAUAGUUACACACUUCGGUAGAAUUGACUGCGAUUACGUAUGCAAUGGUGUUUGGGCCUUAUUACGUAGAUUUUCAUUAUAUGCAGACUGUAAAUCGUUAAUGUCUGUAGUAAGAGGAUUUUGGGCCCAACUCGGUCGGCAUACGCUCCCAUGAGUCCCAUCCACCCGCAGUCACGAUCUCGAUGUGCAUCUGAUGAUUCCCAUAAACAAGCGAGGGCGCGAUACACGCAGAAGGCGGCUUUGGGCCUCUCAUUACUUCAGCCUGGGCCCGGGCCUCAUAUCGGACGCAUCUAUCUGGAGCACCCAGAUAUAGGUACGUUACUACAGGGUGAUCGUAAAGUUCUCUACAGUCUCGUCUGCGUAACUAAAAAAUGAAAAAUUCUAUAAACCCACCACUCGUUCGCCAUCUCUUCAAUUAGGCUGGUUCAAUUAUUCACCUUGUCGCUUCGUUGUACGUGCACCUCUAUGUUCUCCUCCCUCUGCCACCAGGACACGGUCUCCAAUUAGUCACUGUGAUGAAUUAUUUUUUAUUCAGCUAUUUCCGUCCCACGCUCGUGAUCCGGAUGGUACCCACCCGAUCUAACCAAGCCAGGACACUUUUCAUACAGCUCGUAGUACUUUCGGUGGGCCCUUUCAAUUGGUCCUAUCGGAGUUACCCGAAUGAUUAUUUCCAGCGAUCGAUUAUAGAUAGCUCGUCUGGUCCUGCCAGCCGGUUGACAGAAGAUCGCCCAGCAGCCGGUUAUUGCCCCAGCCACGUCCUCGUUUGCCGGAGGUCUCCUUUUGGUUAAGGUCAAGGAUAACGCAAUUUUCGUUACGUCGAGAGGUCGCCAGGAUGUAAGAUUUACAAUUAGAUUGAAUUUCAUUGGUAUAUGACAUAGUUAAAUAGCCGAAUAUAAUCAUUUGGUUGAUAUCGAUCUUCGUGAAAGAAACACCCGGAGAAAUUUUGGUACAAGUUUGAAGUAGAAAAUAUUUGUUGGCAGGCAACGCGUUAUUUUUAAUAUAAAGAUAUGUGUAAUUGAUUAUUUAUUAAGAUUGAACUUUUACUUCAAGAAUUAUAUUUAACGUCUAUAACUAUUUUAAAAGAAUAUUGUAAAUGCUUUUUUUUUUUGAACAAUGAUGGCACAUACGAACACAACCCUAUGUAUAACGAGUAUUAUUGUAGUGCCGGUAUUUAGGGGAUUCUCCUAUUUAUAUUUAUCUAUAGAAUUUUCCAUUUCUUUCUCCAUUAUCGACUGUAGGUAACCGUAAGUGCGAAUGACGGAAUCACCAUUGCCAUCUAGCAGCUCGCGCAGAACUCGAUGAGUAAUUGUAACCAGGGGUAACCAGAGAGUGAGGGGAGCGUUGAUGACAGUGCCUGCACUCGGAGCACUCAUUCUUCCUCGAGCCGGUCUCCUAU